AUUGAACGCUGGCGGCAGGCCUAACACAUGCAAGUCGAACGAGUGGCGGACGGGUGAGUAAUGUCUGGGAAACUGCCCGAUGGAGGGGGAUAACUACUGGAAACGGUAGCUAAUACCGCAUACCAUCGGAUGUGCCCAGAUGGGAUUAGCUUGUAGGUGAGGUAACGGCUCACCUAGGCGACGAUCCCGAGCUGGUCGGAGAGGAUGACCAGCCACGCGGUAACUGAGACACGGUCCAGACUCCUACGGGAGGCAGCAGUGGGGAAUAUUGCCCAAGGGGCUCAAGCGUGAUGCAGCCGUGCCGCGUGUAUGAAGAAGGCCUUCGUGUUGUAAAGUACUUUUAGCGGGGAGGCGUUACCCGCAGAAGAAGCACCGGCUAACUCCGUGCCAGCAGCCGCGGUAAUUC
rnacentral:rRNA from 1 species